rnacentral:rRNA from 1 species
AUUGAACGCUGGCGGCAGGCUUAACACAUGCAAGUCGAGCGGGGAAGGGUAGCUUGCUACCUGACCUAGCGGCGGACGGGUGAGUAAUGCUUAGGAAUCUGCCUAUUAGUGGGGGACAACAUUCCGAAAGGAAUGCUAAUACCGCAUACGCCCUACGGGGGAAAGCAGGGGAUCUUCGGACCUUGCGCUAAUAGAUGAGCCUAAGUCAGAUUAGCUAGUUGGUGGGGUAAAGGCCUACCAAGGCGACGAUCUGUAGCGGGUCUGAGAGGAUGAUCCGCCACACUGGGACUGAGACACGGCCCAGACUCCUACGGGAGGCAGCAGUGGGGAAUAUUGGACAAUGGGCGCAAGCCUGAUCCAGCCAUGCCGCGUGUGUGAAGAAGGCCUUUUGGUUGCAAAGCACUUUAAGCGAGGAGGAGGCUACUUGGAUUAAUACUCUAGGAUAGUGGACGUUACUCGCAGAAUAAGCACCGGCUAACUCUGUGCCAGCAGCCGCGGUAAUACAGAGGGUGCGAGCGUUAAUCGGAUUUACUGGGCGUAAAGCGUGCGUAGGCGGCUUUUUAAGUCGGAUGUGAAAUCCCUGAGCUUAACUUAGGAAUUGCAUUCGAUACUGGGAAGCUAGAGUAUGGGAGAGGAUGGUAGAAUUCCAGGUGUAGCGGUGAAAUGCGUAGAGAUCUGGAGGAAUACCGAUGGCGAAGGCAGCCAUCUGGCCUAAUACUGACGCUGAGGUACGAAAGCAUGGGGAGCAAACAGG